rnacentral:misc_RNA from 1 species
GAUGAAGAACGUAGUAAAAUGCGAUAAUUAAUGUGAAUUGCAGAAUUCAGUGAAUCAUCGAGUCUUUGAACGCACAUUGCGCCCCCUGGUAUUCCGGGGGGCAUGCCUGUCCGAGCGUCAUUGCUGCCCUCAAGCACGGCUUGUGUGUUGGGCUUCCGUCCCUGGCAACGGGGACGGGCCCAAAAGGCAGUGGCGGCACCAUGUCUGGUCCUCGAGCGUAUGGGGCUUUGUCACCCGCUCCCGUAGGUCCAGCUGGCAGCUAGCCUCGCAACCAAUCUUUUUAACCAGGUUGACCUCGGAUCAGGUAGGGAUACCCGCUGAACUUAAGCAUAUCAAUAAGCGGAGGA